GACUCCGUGGCGCAACGGUAGCGCGUCUGACUCCAGAUAAGAGGGUUGCGUGUUCAAAUCACGUCGGGGUCA
rnacentral:tRNA from 1 species